AUUGAACGCUGGCGGCAGGCCUAACACAUGCAAGUCGAGCGGAUGAAGGGAGCUUGCUCCUGGAUUCAGCGGCGGACGGGUGAGUAAUGCCUAGGAAUCUGCCUGGUAGUGGGGGAUAACGUCCGGAAACGGGCGCUAAUACCGCAUACGUCCUGAGGGAGAAAGUGGGGGAUCUUCGGACCUCACGCUAUUAGAUGAGCCUAGGUCGGAUUAGCUAGUUGGUGGGGUAAAGGCCUACCAAGGCGACGAUCCGUAACUGGUCUGAGAGGAGGAUCGGUCACACUGGAACUGAGACACGGUCCAGACUCCUACGGGAAGCAGCAGUAGGGAAUAUUGGGCAAAGGGCGAAAGCCUGAUCCAGCCAUGCCGCGUGGGUGAAGAAGGUCUUCGGAUUGUAAAGCACUUUAAGUUGGGAGGAAGGGCAGUAAGUUCAUACCUUGCUGUUUUGACGGUACCAACAGAAUAAGCACCGGCUAACUUCGUG
rnacentral:rRNA from 1 species